rnacentral:rRNA from 1 species
GCCGGCAACUAGCUUUCUGCAACUCUCACAUGGUCGCCCACUGAAGCCAAGCAGGGUUGCGCUCGGUCAGUACCUGGAUGGGAGACCACAUGGGAAAGCUAGGUUGCUGCCGGAA